rnacentral:lncRNA from 1 species
CUAGUUAUGAUUAUGUAGAGUGUUUCGUUACAAAACGAACCAACGUGACAUCCAAGAGGGCAAGGAAAGCGGUGAAGAAGGUGAAAGCAAGCGUUAUCAUCAAGCUUGCUCAAUUCUUCCUGAUGACGUAUUGAGGCUUGUAUUUCCAAGACUUGAUUCUGUCGACAAAACCCAUGUGCAUACUGUUUGCAAGGAUUGGCUACGACUCACGAACCAAAUUCAUUAUCAGCUUCAGGUCAGCUGCUAUUUCUUUUAAUCAUCAAAGAAUAAUAGUCCAAGUAUUAGCUUGGACUAAUUGUUGACUAUUUCCCUCGACUCUGCUCAUUUGAUUUGUAGAUAUUCAUUGGAGGGAUGUUGCUCUUUAGUUAAUUACCGUCAAUGCUAUUGCAAGAUUUAUUCCUUGCUAGGUUUUUCAAUAUAAACAAGUUGUCUAUAAGUAGCACAAAAAAUUAAUGAAUGAAAAAAAUUAUCAAGUAUGCGAUUGACCUUCAGACAGCUGCAGAUGUCUCAUCAGCUGUUCCUGUUGGCGAACCAGGUACAAAUGGGACAAAUCCCCGUCCGCCAAACACUGGCCUCAUGAAUCUGUCGUCAAAUUUUCUCCACAAGUAAUGAACAGUUAUUGUGGG